rnacentral:rRNA from 1 species
CAGUCGAACGAAGCAUAUAAAAGGAAUUUCUUCGGAGAGGAAUUUUAUAUGACUGAGUGGCGGACGGGUGAGUAACGCGUGGGCAACCUACCCCACACAGGGGGACAACAGUUGGAAACGACUGCUAAUACCGCAUAGGCGCACAGCUUCGCAUGAAGCAGUGUGGAAAACCGAGGUGGUGUGGGAUGGGCCCGCGUCUGACUAGCUGGUUGGCGGGGUAACGGCCCACCAAGGCGACGAUCAGUAGCCGGCCUGAGAGGGUGGACGGCCACAUUGGGACUGAGACACGGCCCAAACUCCUACGGGAGGCAGCAGUGGGGAAUAUUGCACAAUGGGGGAAACCCUGAUGCAGCGACGCCGCGUGAGCGAAGAAGUAUUUCGGUAUGUAAAGCUCUAUCAGCAGGGAAGAAAAUGACGGUACCUGACUAAGAAGCCCCGGCUAAAUACGUGCCAGCAGCCGCGGUAAUACGUAUGGGGCAAGCGUUAUCCGGAUUUACUGGGUGUAAAGGGAGCGCAGGCGGCUUGGCAAGUCUGAUGUGAAAGGCUGGGGCUCAACCCCAGGACUGCAUUGGAAACUGUUAGGCUGGAGUGUCGGAGAGGUAAGCGGAAUUCCUAGUGUAGCGGUGAAAUGCGUAGAUAUUAGGAGGAACACCAGUGGCGAAGGCGGCUUACUGGACGACAACUGACGCUGAGGCUCGAAAGCGUGGGGAGCAAACAGGAUUAGAUACCCUGGUAG